CCUACGGGGGGCUGCAGUGGGGAAUAUUGCACAAUGGGCGCAAGCCUGAUGCAGCCAUGCCGCGUGUGUGAAGAAGGCCUCCGGGUUGUAAAGCACUUUCAGCGGGGAGGAAGGCGGUGAGGUUAAUAACCUCAUCGAUUGACGUUACCCGCAGAAGAAGCACCGGCUAACUCCGUGCCAGCAGCCGCGGUAAUACGGAGGGUGCAAGCGUUAAUCGGAAUUACUGGGCGUAAAGCGCACGCAGGCGGUCUGUCAAGUCGGAUGUGAAAUCCCCGGGCUCAACCUGGGAACUGCAUUCGAAACUGGCAGGCUAGAGUCUUGUAGAGGGGGGUAGAAUUCCAGGUGUAGCGGUGAAAUGCGUAGAGAUCUGGAGGAAUACCGGUGGCGAAGGCGGCCCCCUGGACAAAGACUGACGCUCAGGUGCGAAAGCGUGGGGAGCAAACAGGAUUAGAUACCCCAGUAGUC
rnacentral:rRNA from 1 species